rnacentral:rRNA from 1 species
UACAGAGGUCUCAAGCGUUGUUCGGAUUCAUUGGGCGUAAAGGGUGUGUAGGUGGCGCGCUAAGUCGGGUGUGAAAUUUCGGAGCUUAACUCCGAAACUGCAUUUGAUACUGCGGUGCUUGAGGACUGGAGAGGAGACUGGAAUUUACGGUGUAGCAGUGAAAUGCGUAGAGAUCGUAAGGAAGACCAGUGGCGAAGGCGGGUCUCUGGACAGUUCCUGACACUGAGGCACGAAGGCCAGGGGAGCAAACGGA